UCGGGCGUGACUCAGCAGCUAAGCACCAGAAACAUUAAGGGACAAGGGAAUUUAGAGUCGAUGUCUUGUGAUGCGGUGAAAAUAUCCCGAAUCUUGACCGGGAGGCCUGGGUUCAAUUCACAGCGAGUGCAGGAUGAGGCUGUCACUGGCUCGGCCAGCAUUUAUUGCUGCGUUUACCCAGAGGGCAGUUAAGAGUCAACUGCGUUGCUAUAGGUCUGGAGUCCCAUGCAGACCAGACCAGAUCCCAGUGAUCAGUGCCAAAGCCCCAUUGCCUGUGGAAAAGGUGAUGUUUGACUUCCUGUACAGCUGCAAUUCGUGUGGUGAAGGUGCUCCCACAAUGUGGUUGGGGAUCUGCACUGGAACCCUUCUGUUUGCGGGACAAAUAUAUGUAGGUGACAUGGAUUAAAAUCUAAUUUGAGUACAUUUUGAAUUGUUGGAAGUUGUACAUUUGUGGAAGGAAGGGGAGCUGCCUGCAGCUGAAUAGUCAAAGUGAAUAAUUUUCUUUUGGUGAUUCCAUCUGGUG